UACGAAGGUCCCGAGCGUUGUUCGGAAUCACUGGGCGUAAAGGGAGCGUAGGCGGCGCGGUAAGUCAGAUGUGAAAUCCCGGGGCUCAACCCCGGAACUGCAUCCGAUACUGCCAUGCUAGAGGAUUGGAGAGGUAGCUGGAAUUCUUGGUGUAGCAGUGAAAUGCGUGGAGAUCAAGAGGAACACUCGUGGCGAAAGCGAGCUACUGGACAAUAUCUGACGCUGAGGCUCGAAGGCCAGGGUAGCGAAAGGG
rnacentral:rRNA from 1 species